AACGAACGCUGGCGGCAGGCCUAACACAUGCAAGUCGAGCGCCCUUUCGGGGGAGCGGCGGACGGGUGAGUAACGCGUGGGAAUAUGCCCUUCUCUACGGAAUAGCCUCGGGAAACUGAGAGUAAUACCGUAUACGCCCUGUGGGGGAAAGAUUUAUCGGGGAUGGAUUAGCCCGCGUUGGAUUAGGUAGUUGGUGGGGUAAUGGCCUACCAAGCCGACGAUCCAUAGCUGGUUUGAGAGGAUGAUCAGCCACACUGGGACUGAGACACGGCCCAGACUCCUACGGGAGGCAGCAGUGGGGAAUCUUAGACAAUGGGGGCAACCCUGAUCUAGCCAUGCCGCGUGAGUGAUGAAGGCCUUAGGGUUGUAAAGCUCUUUCAGCUGGGAAGAUAAUGACGGUACCAGCAGAAGAAGCCCCGGCUAACUCCGUG
rnacentral:rRNA from 1 species